rnacentral:lncRNA from 1 species
AUUUUAAAAACAUAAAAUUAAUUAAAAAUACAUUAAAACCAUAAAUGAUAACUCUUUUGCUCCUUCUUGAUUGAUCUUCCUUCUCAAACUCCUCUCUGCACACUUGCUCCUGCUAUGUCUCUUCUCUAGGCUCGUUUUUAAGAUUGUGUGAAAGACCAAGAGCUGAUCGUCCCUUUCUAUAGCACUUCUUUAACUUGCUCAGCAAGCCAGCUAUUUAAUGUAGUUUCCUUAUUUGGUUGGUCAAAUCCAACCAUAUAUUAACCUAACUCACCUCUACAAUACUUUCCUUAUCUGACUCACGCAAACCUGAUAUUUCCUUCGAUAAUCCCGUAGCGAUCAUUAAUCAAACUAUCCUUACUUAGAACCUGCAUUGCACAAUAGUCAAACAUUCUUUAAUUGGAUCACAAUAGUCAAACAUUGUUUAACUGGAUUUGCGGUCUUGUUCUUUUCUUACUUAUGCAUGAUUGUUUCAUGAUCGGUUUACCAUCACUCUGCCCGUUCCAAACUUGUUCCAUAUCCUCACUGAAAUCCUAAACUUAGUGAAAUAUAGCUUAUCCACCACAACCUUCAUGACUACAAGUGUUUACAUACAUUGAAAAAUACGCUC